UCAAUAUUUUAAAAUUAUUUUGAAGCGGUAGAAAUAAUUCAUUGUACGUUUUGCUCAUAGACUCAAAAGCUACUUAAUUUUGAAUAAUAAAAUUAUAAAAAAAAAUAAAUAUCUAAAAUAAUUUUAAAAUUAUUUUGAUAUAAAAUUAACUAUUUUAUAUGAGAUUAAUAUGGAGAAAGAAAAAGUCUUAAUAAUGUUGGACAAAAAAUGAGAUAUGAAAGGAGACUAAGAAUCCUGAAAAUUAGAAAAAUAGGGAUAUAAAUGAAGAUGAGAGGAGAUUAAUUGAAGAUGUGGAUGG
rnacentral:lncRNA from 1 species